GGGAAGAGCUCAAAUUUAAAAUCUGGCAGUCUUUUUGGCUGUCCGAGUUGUAAUUUAGAGAAGUGUUGCCCGCGCUGGACCGUGUACAAGUCUCCUGGAACGGAGCGUCAUAGAGGGUGAGAAUCCCGUCUUUGACACGGACUGCCAGGGCAUAGUGGUGCGCUCUCGA
rnacentral:rRNA from 1 species